UAAUUUUUUCUAUGCCAAAUAUGGUUCAUUUGAGAGUUAAAGCAGAAAGAGAGAGAGAGAGAGAGAGAGAAAGUAUAUUUAAAUAACAACAAUUAAAAAUUUAUAUUGAGAUAACUUGAAUGUGAUCAAAGAAAAUAAAAAUUUCUUGCUCAUCUUAAAGUACAUUUAUUGCAGUUUUGUUGAUAGCAAAGUUUAUUAAGAAGACUAUAAAAGACUACAAAGGUGAGCCUGCAGAUAUCUAUAUUAUUAAAUUUUCAACUAUAAUGACAAGCAAAUCAAAAGUUUUAACUACAUUCGUCCGCAACUACUCAACACCGAAACAUUGGAUUUCGGAUGCAGUAAAAUAUGAAAACGUCACAUAUUAUCCAAGAUCCCCAAAUCAUAAAGAUCCUCCAAUUAUACCAUCCAAGCUUUUAAUGGUUAUAUUAGUAAAACCUUUUGCCGGCAAUCCUUAUUGGGAAAAAAAUAUACUUAAACAAUUGGGUAUUGCAGAGAAAGGAAGGGAUCCUGUGAUAGUUAAAAAUAUUCCAGAGGUAUGUGCAAUGUUGUGGAAAGUAAAACAUCUUGUCAAAAUUACUCCUAUUAAAUUACCGGACAAGCUGCCUAACCCAGAUGAUUUUGGUGGAGGUUAUUUGCAUGAAAAUGGAACAUUCUAUGUUGUUCCCAAAAUAGAUCCAUUGCGUAUAGCGAGCACAGAAAAAUUCGAAAAUGAUCCAAAAAAAUUGGAAGCCUCGAAAAUAAUAGAAACGUUAAGAUUACAGUGGUUAAAUGGUACUUUACCUUAAUAUAAUAACAAACAUAGAGAGAUUUGUAAUUUCUAUUAACAGUUCUGUAAAUGGUACGUUAGGACCCUAUAGAAAUAAAGGAUGCGUGCCGCUUUAGAUCAGUCGUGCGGUCCUAUACUGCGAUAUUACAUACGUUAAAACUAAUUAUAGAAAAGGAAGAAGAAACAAAAAUGAUAUUAAGAAAAUCUAAGUCUAUCGAAAAUAUGUCGAUUAAGACUCAAUUAGUGGUGCCUUACAUCGAAAGAGAAUAAAAGUAAUUUGCUAGGCCGUAAUCGCAUCUUUUGAAAAACUUUUAUGUACUUGCGCGCAUAAUAAGCGUACUAAGCAUACUGAUAAUGCCAGAACACGAGACCUUUUCUGCAACUCGAAUAUCGUCUGAUUGUUAAUUGUGCGCAAGUAGCCUUUGGAAUUUAUCAUUUUAUCUGAAAUGCUAACAUCUAUAAUGAAAUCGUCAACUCGAUAUCCUAUUUGUAGACUAAUCUCUAUGAGAAAACAACUCCUGAUAUAGUAAGUAAGUAGAUUUGAAAAAAUUCUAACAACAUGAUCAUUUUGGAAGUCCUAGUAAUGGAGAAAGAAAGGGGGAGAAGAGAGAUAAAAGAGACAAUAAUCUCUCAUUGUCCUAUUUAAAAUUCAAGUCGAACUCGAUCGCCUACGACUCCGAAGCUUCCAAAAUCGUCUAUCUCUGGACGUAUGAUGAAUGCAGAUUGUAUUAUGCGUAUUUGUAGUUUUCUCAGGCAUAUACAUCUUUAACAAUCUUGCUGCUCGUUCUUCUUGCGACCGAUCAUACGCUUUGCCGCUAAGGAAGCUCAGUAAUUUCAAACUACGUCGUUUUAUUCUCAAACGAUUUAAAAAAUUAGUUUCCGACGUCUCGAUGGGAUUACGACCGUUAUUCUGACUAUAGGAUUCCUCUCCGAGCUUGUUGUUUGAUUUUCUUAUCAUAAAUUCUAAUUGUUUUCUGUGAUCGUACUGCGCAUCCAACUUCCCGUGCCUACUUCCGUCGGUCGCAAUCGCGGCAUAAGCUUCCUUUUGCAAUAUCUCAAAACUUAUUUUUUCUGCAUUUCUGUUAUUAGAUUCCUCGGCUCUUCUCGCAACCAAUUCCAAUUCUUUCAAACGAUCUGCCUCCUUGACAUUCUUCGAUGAGUCCGGCGAUGUUAAUUCGAGUUUUGAGGCUUCAUCUACGUCGGACAGUUUUCUAUGAAGAUCUACAAUUUUACGACGAAACUCUUCGUCUUCUUGACUCAACUUUGCAAAAAUACGAUCUCUCUCGAUUACAUCGGAACUCGAGCUGACGUUUUUCAACGUAGUCGAUUGCAACCUCUGUCACCACCAUCCAACUUGAUGUUUUCCACUUCCAGGGGAAUCCUCCUCUUCGAGUAAAGGCUCCAGUCUUCUUCUACUUAAGAAGCAACGUAGCGAGCCAAGGCUACCUCCGCCAAAUAAAUUCAGACCAUAAUUGUCUUCUCCGGAACCAGUCAAAUUGCCGGUCCCAUUUGGCGGCGGCUAGGGAAGUCAGGCACAGCUCGGGCUAAUGAUUCUUUGCAAACAGAGGGCAAGCGAGUCAUGCAAAGGCGUGCGAAGCUUACAGGCUAUAUUAGAUGCUUACAGGGAAGGUACGGGCUUUGACAAACAAUAGCUACUAUAUUGUAAGAGCCAACAAUCUAGGACCAUGUAGUCACGUAAUAGCAGGUAUGUUUCUUACGAUUGCAUCGGAGUAUUUAAAAGAGAAAGCAACGCAUGUCACUGAACAAAGUUUAGUUUCGGACUUUAGCAAAAAUAUUUUUUAUUUUUAGUAGAGACAUAGAUAAGAAAAAUGGAAAUUCUGUUAAUAGGUUUAACUUUGUGAUCAUAGAAGCGCGUUACGCCACUAUUCUUUAUGCAAAAAUAUUUUUGACCAAAGCGUAGCCGAUACCUUCCGCGGAAUACAAGUGUGUGUAUGUAUAUAGUAAGUACUAAUAUUAUUAAUAAUUAUUAUAAUCAAGUAUAUUACAGAGCGAGUGUGUGUGUGAGUGGGUAGCUCUAGAAAUGAUUACCGAAUGUGUCGUAAAACUCUCGUCGUCUGGACCUCCGGAGGUUGGAGUACCCCAAAUAUCAUCUCCCGAAGUUGCACCCGACGUAGUACCCUCCUCGUCGUUAGGAUCGAGAGAAAAUUCUGUCCUUUCUGGAGGAACAGGCGGUUGAAGAAGGUAAUCGCCGACCCCUUCGCUAAAUUGCUCCAAAAGAACCAUCUUGCUAACGACAUAAUUACUAGCUCUUGCGGUCCAAGCUCUCAGACCCGAAGGUGGUGAUUCUGUCUCACGAUUUUCAUCGUCUCCUUGCUCGUCCAGUUCGUCGUCUUGGUCCAAACUACUCAUCGUACCGAAUCUUCUCAACGUUCUACGUAGAAUCGAGAUUAUCGUAGAAGAUAAUAAAACGGAUUAAUAUAAACAGAAAUGUUUAUCGAAUAAUAGACUAAUAUCUACCUGUAAGGUGGUUCCCCGUCGCAAUCGAGAUCAUCUUCGCUUCCAUCUUCCGUAUUACCGUCGACAGAUGCAUAAUUUGGACUGUUACGUCCUGGACUAUCGUGUAGGCCAUUUCUUAAUCUAUGUCUCGCCGUAUAAAUAUCUGGCGUAGGUGGCAUGACAGAUAUUUUAGGAGGUAACGGAGAGAAAGGGUCUCUUGGAAGAGGCGGCGUGGGGCAGCCAGAUCUGAAAGAAGAAACGAAAGAAAAAGGAAGACAAAGAAAGGAAAAGAAGAAAAAAAGAAAAGGAAAUUUAAUUAAUUAAUAUUGGCACAUGCGUAAUACUCGGAGACAAACGUGAUAAUCUUAAAUAUGGUAAGUACUUCAUUUAAUACAUUGGAUUAUCGGUAAGGCAUAUAACCUAUGACAUCGUCUACAGAUGUUGAUAGAACUCGUAGAGUUUUCUUUCGAGGAUACGUAGCUCCCAUUUUUUCUUGCCGUAAUACUAUUGGAUUUGACUGUACUUAAACUGGCACUGGAGGCUGUGCUCUGUUGCUCUAUGUCCGAAUUCGCAGUUACGACUUCUUCUGCCGUCGUCGUCGUCGUCAUCGUCGUUGUCAUCGUCGUCGUAGCUUCCUGAAUGGAUCUUUCGUUCUUCUCUCCGGGUGCUCUUGCAGCUAACUCUUCCGCAGUCCAUUCCUCGAGGGAGCCUUCGUUAUCGGAAGGCGGUAUUUGGUGAGAAUUGCGCACCCAUUGGGCCAAAUGAUUGUCCUCUCGCGUAUUUUUCAGAAUAUCGGCAAGACUUUCAUUCGAAUGGCAUUCCUUUUUUUCCUCGUGUUUAUGCGAAUCCCGUAAUCCCAUCUAAUUUAAGAGGGAACGUAUAUUAAAGAGCAAAUAAUCCUACAUCUCGAAAUCCUUCACUUUUAUGCCAAUUCACCACCUUACCCGCGGACUUUCCAUCGAUUCUCUAACGUGAGCAAAGUUGGUACUGGUAAUCGGACUCUCCUCGGGGCUACCAACACUCGAUGUUCCACCAUAGCCUGUAUUUAGAUAAAUUCUAAAAUACAAGGGAUUAGUGUAAACAAUGCAACUUGGUGACAUAAUGUUAGAAUUAACUAUAAUUUAGAGUGUUACAAUAUAUGUACAUAUAUACAAUAUAUAUAUAUAUAUAUAUAUAUAUAUAUAUAUAUAUAUAUAUCUACGGCCCGAGUGAUUCGGGCAACCACUUAGAAAAUAAAAGUAGGCACUACUCACAUUUGUCGUUGAAGCAAGUUAUGCCAAACUGCUUUGAGCUCCGGACUGGGAGCUCUCAAUACGAUGACUCGUCUUCGAGGACGACUAUGGGGACUACAACCUCCGCUGUUUGUCAUUUCCGCCUGACCGUUCUCAGUAUUACCAUUCGAAUUGAUUGCCACCUGUAAUCUGAAUUCUGUCGGCCUCUUUCUAAUGGUAAAACACGCUUCUGCAAUAUUGGCCAAUCGCAGAGGUUCCUCAGUAACGAAAAGAACGCGAUCCCUCGAAACGCGAGCAAAGACCAAUAAGUCGGUAAGAAGGAGCGCCCACGAUGGUUGCAAACGAGCCCGACCUUCGACCUUUGCUAGGGCCCCGCCAAAAAGCCUGUCAGAUAGAAUCAAUCUGUCAGAAAUUUAGUUCAUAAAUAAUCAUAAGUGACAAUCAACUGACCAUUGCCUUCCUGGCAUGGCUAAAGUAAACGGUUUGCAUUUUGCGAAAACCAAUCGCGACUCGACUUCCUGUAAACUAAGUAAAGGUCUUCCGGUGUCUCGCGGUGGUUCCAUUACGCCUGCAUUAGCCGUUGAUUCUCUAUAACCUUGCGCCAAAUCUCGAGCUUGCUGACAGUUUCUUGGCGAUGCCAGACUCAAUAAUCUCGUCAUUUCUCUAAAACGCAACCACAAAUAAAAGUUAUUCAAAGAUUACUUAAAACUUAUUCAAACUUUGGAAUAAGCGCUACAAUAUUGGCGCGAUGGAACUGGCAUAGAGACGAACCUAUAAUGCUCUAAAGGAAGCAAGAGGAUUCCCGUAAGGUCAGGCCGCCUUUUAUGAGGAACGGCAGGUUCACAGACCAACUUAGCAAAGGCAGUAUUCCGUCUGAGUGCAACGAGCAAAUAACAGGCCCAUUGCAGUCCACUGAGGUAUCGUCUGUAAGCGGCCGUGAUCUUAGGUACUCUGCAGAGAUAGCUAUCGGUACCGCCACCUUCGUCUCUAAUCUCCUCGGAUAUCUUAAGUAAUUCGUCUAGAUUUUGAAAGAGGACCAUGUAGUCCGCCGCAGAGAGAACGUCGCGCCUUUCGGCCAGCGGCGUCAUGAAUCUUGUGUGACCGCUCUUCAGAAUCCCCCGGUAUCUUGCCUCUCGUACCGAUAACUCUUCCUCCGGUGGUGCAUCCGGAGCAAGAUUCGGAAAAACCUGAUCACGUAGACGUGCAAGAUUUUCGUCCUGUCUUUUCGAACUACUACCAAUCGAGAGACCGCAUGCAUUAAUGUCCUUACCUAAGAAUAUUCUUAUUUUUCAAUAAACUGAUCAGCUACAAACAUUAUUGCGUAUCAACAUUAUAAUCUAUGAUCUUUAACGAAAUUGUAAAAAGGGUAGAUUUUUUAUGUAAUCGUAUCCAAAAUCUAACAACGAAUCGAUCUAUAUAGUGCACAUAUAGUUAUAUAUAUAUAUAUAUAUAUAUAUAUAUAUAUAUAUAUAUAUAUAUAUAUAUAUAUAUAUGUAUCUAUGUAUGUAUGUAUAUCGAUCGAAGCGAUCAUGCGAGUGUAAUAUUCUGUUGCAUAACUCAUGACGAAAAAUUUUGCUACAAUAUUAUCUUUCGACCUGCAUGCAACAAGAGAAAGUAUCAUUUCGACCUAAUUUCAUACUACGAUAAUCACAUUCUCUCUCUUUCUCUCUCUCUCUCUCUCUCUCUCUCUCUCUCUUUCUCUCUCUUUCUCUCUCUCUCUCUCUCUCGCUCCCUCUGUAUCCAAAGAUGCAUACACACCUACAUGUACUCGUAGUUUAAUGUCAUGGCUAAAACACGGGGAAUGGAUGAGGAUGUGUUCAAAUAAAUGAAAAUAACAACGAGUGUAGUUUAAAACAAAACUUGUUGACAACAACAAAAAAAAAGAAAAGACAACCGAACAAAGUACAAACAAGAUAAUUAGAUCAUAAAUUAAGAACACGCUUACCACAAGAAACGCGCGAACGAUCGCUCUGAGAGUUAAGGAAGGAAAUGCACUAUACAAAAUAUGGACCGUGUAAAACAAAAAAAAGCGUUUAUCAGUCAACUAAAUGAAAAAAGAAAAAAGAAAACAAAUACAAAACGUUCGCCGUUCUUUUCGCCUCGCGGUUCUGUAGAUCGAUUUUAACGAUAAGGCGAAUAAAAUGAUUGAUGCUCCGAUAAUGCUCGGACACGUUCGCUUUUAUCAAUGAAAAUCGAAACUUUUCAAUGUCAUCGAGCGGCAAGCGAUAUCGCGAUAACGAUAGGAACGAAAGAAUCAAGCGGUUUUAUAACAGCGGUAUUGUCAUCGAGCUCACACCAGAACGCCGAUACCGACCUCGGCGUUGAACGCGACGGCGUGCUGACUAGCGGGACCGACAGUUUGUUGAAGAGAGACAUUCAUCGAGUUGGGCCUCUGCUGUGACGAAUGAAUGCCUCCCUUACGAUAAACCUCAAGGAUGAGCUGAUUCGUUGCCGCCUGGAUCAAGCCCAAAAUCUCGUCCCUCGGUUUCGUUACAACGUUCGUUGUUUCGACGAAGACGACGUAAUCGCCUGGUUUCAGACCAGAUCUUUCCGCAGGACUUCCUGAAUCGACGCGCUCCACACGUGGCGGUCUGCCCCAGGAUAAAGAGAAACCCCAUGGCACCUGUACAAGGCGUUCUACCACCUCUCGCGGUAAAGCCUGGAUGUAGAGGUAAGCCGGUCAGAGGAUCGACUGGUUCCAACUCAAGAUGUUUUAAAUACGUCAAAUCAUCCCCACCGGAAUUGUUGUUAUCUGAUUCUCCAUCCUUGGAUAAAGGCGGCGAGACUCCACAUUCUUGUGGUACUCUUGCAUAAGGGGUACUUGUAUUUCGGCUGGAUCCAGAUUCGAGUGGGUGCCAUGUUGCUUCCUACGAUAUUCACGAGCGACGAUAUAUCAAUCGGUCAAUAAGUCAAACAACUGAGAAAUAUCAUAUGCUUCAUCGAUGUUUCUACAUAUACACGUAUCAAUGCAGUUAUCAAAAAAAUUCAAAAAUUUUUAAAAGAACACCAAUAACGAUAAAAGCAAUGCAAUAAAUUGCAACAGCGAUCAUUGUUCCUUGAUAUGUAACAGUAAAAAAAAAAAAGAAAAAAAGAACAAACAUUAGACAAGGAUGGCUGUUGCGAUAGUCGAGCAGAUUCUGCAACGAUUCGUUGACCACUGGACUCCAACGAACCGGCUUAACCAUGACCUUAAGCGAGAAGACCUAUGAAUUGCGAACAUUACGAGAGAAAUUCCAUUUGGACGAUUAUAUACGUAUCAAAUAUUAACCGUUACCUUAUCCUGAGACAAAGGUAGAGGUAAAGUCAUACAGCCCAGCAGCUCGCUACGUCUGAAACAGGAAAUAGACAAGAAACGAACAUAAAUUUUUAAUUGCUUUUAGACGAUCGUGUAUCUACCGUAGUACACUUCCAUGCUAAAACAGUGGCAUUGUCACCCAAAAACGUGCUAAGCUAAGUAGGAUUUAUGUAUGUGUUGGAGAAAGUGAGAGAUUAGAAAGGUGAAAGAGAGAGAGAGAGAGAGAGAGAGAGAGAGAGAGAGAGAGAAAGGGAGAGAAAAUAUAAAUGCGCGAGCGCAACGUGACUACCAUUUCGCGAAGGUAUCUACAUACACAUGCUAUAAUAGUGCAGAUGUGACGAGAGAAGUGCACGUGGUGAUCCCGAUGCGCAUGCUUCGAGAGAAUCGAUUCCCCUCCUACCGCAAAGAAUACUCGAAAAUCUAGAUAUUAGCUUAGAUAUUGUGAUUGACCGUAGCGCUCAACCUUUCAAAACUAAAACUGAUAUGAAAUGUUUUAGAUAAAAGAUAAAUAAAUAAUAUCGUAUUUUUAAUUUUGGC